AUCCAAGCAAAAGUUUCUCUUUCUUUAAAGCAUUCUUCACAAGGCAACGGUCACUUUACUAGCCCCAAGUGUCUGCCCCAUCCUCAUUGCUUCAGUUCCCAAGAAGCUCACCAGCACAAGCAAUGAUUCACACACUUUCUGCGAAGCCUCCCAUGUUGGUGAGGUUCUGACUAGUAUCUUCCACUCCACAGGACAGUGUUGCUCUUGUGCUGUGAUGGGAAGCUGGAGGCUGACCAAAGCCCCAUUAAAUGGCGCAGCUGUUGGAGAAGCGCAGGCUCGGACGGCACCGCUGGGUAGCCUCCCUGUCUUGCAGGGAUUUUUUCCUCAGGGUUGACUGAGGUUCGGCACUGCCCCUUUGAACCGAAUUAUUUGGUGAACUAAGUGAGCCAGACAAGUAAUAUGGUAUGUGGGGGCAUCCUUCUAAAUUCAAGGGUAUGAUGUGACCCAUCUGUUCUGACUAUGCUUUAACUUCUGGUAGAUCUCUGAAGAACAAGGGCUGUUUUGUAAAUACUAGUUUAAUGUAUCGCUUCAAUUCUGGGGAUGAAAUCCUUGUCCUGAAAGAAAAGGACAGCCUUUGUUUAAGUGAUUGACAAGGAAUCCUCCUCUGUGUCAUGCCUGGCCUUUUUCAUGCUGAAAACUAAUUACCUCAGAAAUGCAGUAAUGUAAUCCAAGCUGCGUACUUAUUUACUUAAAAGGACUGAGGCUCACAUCUUCUGCGAUGUCCAAAAGAACAGCAGUGCAAAUGCUUUUCAGUCACUGGGGAUCUCAGCAGAAGAGCUUAUCAUAAAUGGGUGUGUUUACAUGUGCUUAUGGACAAACAUGAACCUAAAAUACAAAGAAGGCUUGAGGGAGCAGUUUCAUACAAAAAAAAAUAGUAAUACUUUUUAAAAAGAACAAUACAAAUUAUUAAUUAACAGGAAAAACGAGAUUACUUAUUUGUUACUCGUUCAGGUACAGAAUAAAAAAAUGCCAUUACCUUGUGAAAGGCCUUGUAGGUUUCUCCCUUUGAAUUUAUACCAGCAUGGGGGAAAGUCACCCAACUCCUUAGUGAGGCCUACUGAUCCCACAGGAGCACUGCAGUGAGCUCAAGCAUUAGUUACAACGAGCAAACAAACAAAACUGUGGGAAUACACUGCAUGUUGUGGUGAGUUUCCACAGCUCGCCUCAUUUCCACGAUGAGGAGUCGGAUGCUGAGGGUGGCCCAGGAGGGGCAUGGCGCACGGGGACAGUUGUGUCCCAGCUGCCAAAGGGCACAUGGAGAAGUACCUCUGUCCUACAAGGUGGGGGACAGAUGGACAAUGGCACUGCAGAAGGAGCUGGAAUGGGCUUGAGGUAGGAAGCCACGCUGGGGUUGUGGAGAGGUGAAAGCCUGCCCAGGGCUACCUGGAGGUACAGGUGAAGGAACAGUGUUGGACUGUUUGUGAGCACUGAGGUGACUCCUGGGCAGAGGCUGGGGAAGAAGCCAGAGAGGAGAUCUGAAGAUGUUUGGACAGGAAGCACUGAGGUAACCCCGAGCAUGGACAGGGCAACAGUUAUAGGUGAGACGAUGAAGUACCUCCAAGGGGUCAACAUCAGCAUUCAGUCAGGAAAUGCCAAGGUUCCUCAGGGAGCCACAGCACUGGCGUUUUGGCAGGUCGCACCCUGCAGCAGUGUUUUGGUGGGAAAGGCUGAGGUACCUCAGAGAAGGGUGGAAUUGGCAUCAUUAUUUUGAUGGGAGGCACAAAGAUACCUCAGAAAGUGAGCAGCAGGAGGCGUGGAGGGAAGCGGUGAGACACCUCAGAAAAGACAGUGCCAGGAGUUUGGCAGUUAAAAGCUGAGGUAAGUCGGAGAAGAUGGCGAUGCUGUUUUGGCAGGAAACCUGGCAGUUCCUCAGGAAGGUGAGAGCAGAAGGCCUUGGUGGGAAGCACUGGCAGACCUCGGAGAAGACAGCAGCAGCAUUUUAGCGAGAAAUGCUGAGGAAGUUGGAGAGGGCAGGCUAGGCACUGCUGUCACUCGCAGCCAUCUGUUCGCUGGGACUCCGCUGAUAAUCUACGAAGCAGCUUGGGAGAUGAAACCCUCCGACAGCCGAGAUCACAAGGAGUUCAGAUUGCUUUACAGUAGGGCAGGAAGUAGGUGGGGGAAAGGGAGGAAAGGAUGAAAUGUACAGCUCAUACUCUGUUGGCUUCAGGAUGAAAGCUUUCUCAAAAAAAAAAUAUGUUGAUUUCGUAUUUCCUCCAUGAGAAAUGGUGUCAAAGACGUGGAGCAGCAGCCAGAGGUGUUCCAUGAGCCCUGUCGUGUUCAUUACGCGGCAGCUUGCAACUUCAAUCCAAGAGGUCUUCUCUAAACCUGCGGGUUUGCCACCACCCAGUAGCCUGCUUGGGAUGCUCAGAAACCAGUUUUCCAACGGUGGCUAACAAAAAACAGAGCGAAAAGCAGCAGAAAUGGAUUUCCCACUCAUGUAGGGAGCGAUGUGCUCCUGCAGGGAACACCAAAACACUGCCACUACGAUUUGGUGGCGUGCUGAGCUAUGCAGCCCCAGCGAUAUCUGUAGCUGUGUUGCCUUUUACCUUCAAUGUGUGUACUUUCUUCUUAGUAGCUCUUUGCAGACUAAAACAAGGGCAUCGUGCUUUUUCUUUAUGCUCCUCGCCGUCUGGUCCUGCAGCGCUUCAGGUGUGCAAAAAGGACAUCUCUCUGUUGUGUGCACUGCUGAUGUGAAAGAGUGGCCAAGCCUAGCAUUCAACCCAUGGAAAAAGUCUGCAGUCAGUACAUACAGAACAGGAACUGAGAAAAUCUCGUAUUAGGCUGUUCCUCCAGACUGUGGGUUGAAAAACCCGAGAGGUUUUAAUUUACCUCUAGGUUAGUACCUUUAUUGUCACACUGGGAGAGCUGCACUGCCGCAGUUGUUACCAUAAACUUGUUCACAUAUCUCCAAGUCCCACCUCUGCGUAUGAACGACAUGGAAAAACACUUGAAAUCCACCUAAUCAAAUGGUCACAGGCAACGAUAACCCGCAGGCAGCUGAGACAGGACUGAAACAAAAACGGAAACCACAUUUGUUACAGCUCUCGCUGUGCCGCUGCCAGCUGCACGCUGACAUGUCACGCCUUGGGAGCCCUGGUGGCCAGGACUCCCCAUGGGCUCGGGGGUCCAGCCAGGCAGAACGACUUACGGACAGACCCGGGACUCCUUUGGGAAAACGCGCGCUGAGGGGUUGCUGCAGCCACGCUCCGGUGAGGAAAUGACCAGACACUGCUGGAAUUUGUGAAGAAAAAGAGAAGUGCCUGUGACGUGCCACGCACUUCGCAGCCAGGCUCAGCGCAUCCCCCUGACAGGGAUUUCUGCACACCGAGCCUCGGUGUCCUGCACGACCAACCUCACCCAGGCAGCCUUGGGACGGCCUCGCUGCGACCACACGUUAUUGGCAGUAAUUUAGCUGUGAAAUGGGUUUCUUGAGACACGAAGGGAUGGGUAACACUCCCCCUUCCCCGUCCCUGCCCAACGCACUGCUGCUUUACUCAGCUAACCCUCUGCUGGUUUGCACACUUAUGCAGAACGCGAAACCUUUACGGGGAAAAGAGCAAUGCAGGAAUGCAGCCAGGUGGUGUUUUUGUGCUUUAUCUCUGGAAAAGUUAAAGAAAAGCAUGGUAGAAGCGAGGACUUCAUAAUAUCUGCUCCUCGUGCUUGGGCUACAAAAUUGAGCAUGCUGGUCACUGCUUCCUCUAGGAGAUGUCCUCCUGUCUUUCACCCACCCAGCCCAGUAGAGGGGGAAGGGACAACUGCAGCCAUUUUCUCAAGUCGGUGUGCAGCAUUUCUCACGUGAAGUCUGCUCAGGAGACCACUACGCACGUUAUAAUGCCAGCUUUCAAAGCAAUUGUAGUCAGUUUUCUUGCACACAAUGAUGCCUUCAAGUUCUGAGCACGCUUUCAUCAAAGCAACACCAACUGCCUUUAAUAUCAGAGCCAUUUUAUUAUUUUAGUGCAGUAUUUUAACUUGGCCGUGUUUCUUGUCUACAGAACAUUCAACAAGUACGUUGAGUUUGAGGAAACGAACAGCUGUGCCUUUACUUUAUUUGCAGCCAUUCUCUAUCAAUAUCCUUACGUGUUAUUCUGCCAGGAGCCAGGAGAGGGUGCUGUUAAAUUUGGCUAUUAUUUCAUUUAUCCAAACAGCAACCACAUAACGUAAAAUGCUUUCCCUCUUUCUUCCCCCACCACGCCAACCCGCUCAGUACUGGGCGCUUUUUAACUCCCAACUGAAAUGGACUUCCCACUCUUAUCAGCCAAGAUAUGAGUAGUCGUACUGAUGAAAAACAUCCCUCAACUAUAAUAAAGCCGCUAAAUCAGUGAUCACAGUCACACAGCAGCUGCUGAGGACUUGUAUGGCAACCCAGUAGUUACGUGGAUCCUCUGGGUAAAGGAUACCCCGCAGUUUGCUUUUAAUGGUAACUGUGAAAAAAAGAGCACUCAAAGUCCUUGGACAGGAGCUGUGUUGGAUUUGAAACAAAAGGGACCUGCCUCUGGGACAGGGCAAUGGACACGGCCGUGUAAACAUUCUGGUGUCAGGGGAUGACAUCUGGCAAAACUAGUUAACUUUGUAAGACUUGCUGCUCUGUCUUUAGGAUGAAAAAAGCACAAACACAAUUUAUAAAACAGGAACUCAUAUCCUUUUUCAGGUUUGAACCGCUGUCCUCUCUCUGUACCACAGGCCCAGUUAGAUUUUAAUCCAGAUGCAAGUGCUACUUGUUUAACUCCAUCUGUAUCUUCAGUAAAAAUAUAAGCACGUUCUCAACCGGUAUCGAAACCUCUCUUUCUUUCUGUACAGCCUUUCAAACACUUUCUCCACAUCAAUGGGUUAGCAACUUGAAACAAGCACAACGGAAGAAACGUAAUGAAAACAAAAAAAAAAAAAGAGGAGGAGAUGAGGGUACAAGCAUCUUCUGCUGUUUGAGUGACUUUCUGCGCUUUGUUCGGACAACAGCUGACUCGGAAGUGAAACCCACUGUGCCAUCCUAGCUUCCAAGAGAAAAACAUACAGCGAGAGAAUGUAAGCAACUGUGGUAACAGGGAAUGAGAGCAGAAAAUGGGAUCACUACAGAAUAUGAAGUGAGUUUGGCUCAAAGUGCACUCAAAACAAAACAGCCAUCAGCACACAGACUCGGUGUAUUUGUAGAAUAUUUUAAUUUUCAGCUGAGAAACACACAUUAGGGCAGAAUUCAAGGCACGUGAUGAGGCAUGAAAACUUUCUUGCUUUUUGUGCUUAUACCUUCAGUGUAAAUUCUGUGAAAAGGAAUAAAUCCUUCCUAUCUUUGACCUCUACAUAAAGCAACUCUGAAUACCCACUUGGAGCACGAGGUACAAUGCGAAGUUUACAGUUAUUGCUGGAAUGCAGGAUUUACUCAGAGAAACAUUUCUUUUUCUGCCUGUGCAAUUUGUUAUAUGCCUCGGACAAUUUAUUUCACAAAGUUUGAUCAGUGAUGAAAUCAACAGAAGCAAAUAACGUUCUCCACAUAUAUACAUGCUGCAAUUACAAAUAGCUGCUUGCACUGUUUUACCUCAGUUGCUCUCUUACUGGAUAAUAGAGACCAUCUCAUGGAUAGAAAAAAAACCUCUGAUUUCUGCAUCUUGCAAGCCUAGUUGUUUUUCUAAAAGCAAAACGAAACAAACAACAAAACAGAACAAUACAAAACUUGGAAAGACAGCCAAUAGGGCAAUGACCUUUUUACUGCUGAGGCAAAAACACAAUACGAAGAUUUAAAACGUUGUGGAUUUAGGUAUACUAUCCUAAAAACAUCAUAGGUAUUGAAACAAACAUCACAGGCAUUGAAAUGCUGCUAAGAAACGCAUUUCCAUUUGAGUAGCUUUUGGCUGGUAGUAGUGUAAAGCACCUUUGUGUCUACUCCCACCGCGCAUUUGCUGUCACCAAGCAAAUAAUACAGUACCUGACAGCGAGAGUAUUGCCAAGGAAAAAGUUGUUUAUGAGCAGCUACAAACAAGUAUUCUCUCUCUUAAUGCCCUACCGUUGUUCAUACAGCCUCGGGUUUAAUUAUUGUUUCAAAACUUGAUAGUCAAAGGCUUUUCUCCCUUACUCGUGCAUUUUUUUUUUAAAUCAAUAUGAUUAAAAAUGAACCUACUAUGCAUCCGCGUGAUGAACGCGGUAAGAGUUCAUCCUGCAUUUUUCCCAUCAAGGUCCCCAUCCUGCUUUUUUCCAGAUCACCAAGACUUCUGCUGCAAUUACUGGGAAGAGACAAGUCCCAACUCCUGAACGUGUUUAAACAGCCUGCUCCCAAGGCUUCAGUCGUAACAGAAUUUCCAUCCUCUGCCCUGGCAGGCGUUAAGAGCUCAUUGUUACAGUGAAUUUUCCAAAGAUGUUAUCCUGAGAUUACAAACAGUUGUAAUCUCUGUAAGUCCAGAACUGGAUAGUCACAUUUCCUAGGCCUCAUUAUAACAGAAGGAUUUAUGCAUGUAAAUACUUCAUUACUAUUCAGCAAAACAUUGAAAUAUCGCUUAAGCAUGAGGUCAAACACCACUGAGAGUGCCUGUAGCGGGAGUAUGACUUCACCUUUAAAUCCUUUGGGAGCAUAAAAGGAAAAAUUACUCAUUGCAUAAGAAUUACACCUUAAGACAUGCACACAGAGGGACUUUCAUAAUUUGUUUUUUUAUUUCCUAAGAAUGAACAGGCCAUUUAGCUCUGGGGCAAGAAUCAGAAGUCCCAUUCCCGCUCUUAUAUGUAACAAGAAGAACCCACAGAAACAAUUUUCUUUACACAUUACCUGCACGAAUGGCUCAGAGUUAAAGAAAAGUCAUCAUCAAGUCUACCAAGUGAAUCUGCAUCCUCAGAAAUUACAACCUAGGCCUAGUUUUAAAAACACUGAUAGUGACAGUAAUGUCUGACAUCUGACCUUCCUAAAAAAAACUAUAUGAAAAGCUAACUGUGCAAUCUGAUUAGCCAGCACAUCAACAAAAGUUCAAGAAAAGCAGUGCAAAAAACGAAAGAGUAAAUAAUGAAAGUGAAACAGCGCUAGACUAUACAGCGUGAAGUCUGUGAACAAGCACGUGGCUUUUUGCUUUCCCAAAUAAAACUGCAAUUUAAUAACACUGGCAGGCUGACUUCAGUAGAAAUACCUUACAAAAUCAGACUUUGAUGGUUGGCCCAUUGCAGAAUGACUCUUGCUACACACAGCAGGACUGAGGAGACCCAGGAAAAAACAGAUGCUUCCCAGGACCAGCAUCUGGCCCCGAUGUAACAGACAACCUGGCUGACACGCAGGACGUGCCCCAGUCAAGCUUUGCUGAAGUGAGCGUGCCCAAUGUGGGAUAUUAACUGGCAGAUUUCCCGACGGCUUUUAGGAAUUCUUCAGAGAUGCUCUGUAUCUAAGAGCUUUUGUCCCAAAGGGGAUAUCCAUUGCUCCCUCCUCUGAGGGCGAUUGUCUACUGCAAAAAUACUGGAGAAAUUGAAGAAAUACAGAAAUGAAACUCAUGAUCAGAGAAGCGCUGUGAUUCAUAAGUAAAGGCAAAGUAGAACUUCUAUCACCUUG